GACGAACGCUGGCGGCGUGCUUAACACAUGCAAGUCGAACGGAAAGGCCCUGCUUGCAGGGUACUCGAGUGGCGAACGGGUGAGUAACACGUGGGUGAUCUGCCCUGCACUUCGGGAUAAGCCUGGGAAACUGGGUCUAAUACCGGAUAGGAGCCAUUUUUAGUGUGAUGGUUGGAAAGGUUUUUUCGGUGUAGGAUGAGCUCGCGGCCUAUCAGCUUGUUGGUGGGGUAAUGGCCUACCAAGGCGGCGACGGGUAGCCGGCCUGAGAGGGUGGACGGCCACAUUGGGACUGAGAUACGGCCCAGACUCCUACGGGAGGCAGCAGUGGGGAAUAUUGCACAAUGGGCGCAAGCCUGAUGCAGCGACGCCGCGUGGGGGAUGACGGCCUUCGGGUUGUAAACUCCUUUCGCUAGGGACGAAGCUUUUUGUGACGGUACCUAGAGAAGAAGCACCGGCUAACUACGUG
rnacentral:rRNA from 1 species